rnacentral:rRNA from 1 species
CAAGGAGUCUAACAUGUGCGCGAGUCAUUGGGUUUCUACUAAACCUAAAGGCGCAAUGAAAGUGAAGGUCCCGCCUUGUGCGGACCGAGGGAAGAUGGGGCGUGCUUCUGCGCGACCCCCGCAUUCCCGGGGCGUCUCGUUCUCAUUGCGAGUUGAGGCGCACCCAGAGCGUACACGUUGGGACCCGAAAGAUGGUGAACUAUGCCUGGCCAGGACGAAGUCAGGGGAAACCCUGAUGGAGGUCCGUAGCGAUUCUGACGUGCAAAUCGAUCGUCGGAGCUGGGUAUAGGGGCGAAAGACUAAUCGAACCAUCUAGUAGCUGGUUCCCUCCGAAGUUUCCCUCAGGAUAGCUGGUGCUCGAACGAGUCUCAUCCGGUCAAGCGAAUGAUUAGAGGCCUUGGGGCCGAAACGACCUCAACCUAUUCUCAAACUUUAAAUGGGUGAGAUCUCCGGCUUGCUUAAAGCAAUGAAGCCGCGAGACCUUUUUGGAUCGGAGUGCCAAGUGGGCCACUUUUGGUAA